GGUUGGUAUUAUGCUUUAUUGUGGGUGUUUUUUCAUUCAAGAGUCACUACAGAAGAACAAUGCGCAUGAAAGAAAAGUGGUAACAUGAACAAUAGUAGAAAGAAUGCCCUGAACUGUUUAUAUGCUAAAUCAAUAUUUUUAUUAGUAAAUUACAAAUACCCACUUGUUAAAGUUGUUACCAUUUUAUCUAGAAAAAUAGAAUUUUUAUCAAUUCCUGAAACCUUUUCCCUUUAAAAUAAGGACAUAAUUUGUAAGGUCUAUCUACAAUAUAUAAAUACUUGAAAAACGAAUUUGGUGAAAUUCCCUAAGAAAAUUAGCUAUAGAUAUUAAUGAAGAUAUAGAAGCUCUGUUGUCCAUGAAACAUCAGCAUGCACACAAGAAAAAAACUGCUUUUAUUACUAUCUGAAAUUGUAUCUUUUUUUUCACAUAUGUACGUUGAUGGGGUUGAGAAUAUGCUACUCCAAAAUAUGGCUCCUUGGCAUACUGGGUAUUUUAAGCUUAAGAAAUUUGAGAAAACCACAGAGGCAGGAAGGUGUCUCUGACCUUCCCUGAUCUCCCUGAAGCAGAUGAUAAAAUCCUUACGUGCGGGAUGCCUCCCAUACACCAAGGAAAGGGGCACUUACCUCUGAAGAACAAAGCAUCACAGUGAAGAAUCUGAAUAGACUUUGCUCUGUUUCCUCUAGUUAAUUACCACUAGAUCAUAUUUGUUUAUUCACUCAUGCGUCUCCAAAAGCAUUCCCAUUUUCAUCAAAACUAGCAUAAAAAAUACCCAGGUCUACCGAUUUCUUCUGGUCUUUAUUUCUUUAUAAGUGCUUCUAUGUCACAUAAAAUUUAUAUUUUAUAAAUUUGUAUGUUUUUAAUCUUGUUAAUCUUGUUAAACGUCUUUUGUUUCAGGAGCUUCAGCCAUGAAUCUAAGAAAGGGGAUAGAAAAGAAUAUUUUCCUCUCUAUGAUAUGCCCAUGUAGAAUAUCAUCAGUUUGAAAAAAAAAAAAAAGUCAUUUUGUCAAUUUAAUUCAGUUGAAAUAAAUGUUAACAUAAUAUUUAAUAAUUAUGGAAAUUAUAGAUAGAUAGAUAGAUAGAUAGAUAGAUAGAUAGAUAGAUAGAUAGAUAGAUAAUUUUUGAGAUCUUGCUCUGUCACCCAGGCUGGAGCGCAGCGCAACUUCCGCCUUCCGGGUUCAAGCGAUUCUCCUGCCUCAGCCUCCUGAGUAGCUGGGAUUACAGGCGCCCGCCACCACGCCUGACUAAUUUUUGUAUUUUUAGUAGAGAUGGGGUUUCACCAUGUUGGUCAGGAUGCUCUCGAUCUCCUGACCUCGUGAUCCCCCUGCCUCAGCUUUCCAGAGCUCUGCGAUUACAGGUUUGAGCCCGCCCGGCUGGAAAUUAUAUUUUAUGAAGGAUGUCAUUAAGAUUACUACAAUGUGGUAACUUUUUAAGAUAUGUGUAUUGUAAAAAAAAGUUAAAAAGCUUAUUUUAGAAGCCUAGAUCAGAGUUAAUUUGGGAUAUUUUGUCAGCCUUUUGGAAAAAUUGUAAUACCAUUAUAUACAUUUUAGGAUUAAAUAUUAAAGUCAAAUUCUAGCACAGAAAAGAAGUAAAUGAUGUAAAAUGAAAAUGUUUUUACGUCUUUUAGAUCCAAGUUGAAAAUAUUAUCAUGAAAAAUGUUUUCUAGAAAUCCCUUUCUACUGCCUGUUAUGGGCACAAAUAAGCAAUUAAAUUAGUUAAGACUACCACCAGCUUCUUAUAAUUAAGUGUAAAUUCCAAUCACUUACACAAUACUCCUUCUAUGGGAAUUAAGCAAUAUUAAUUAAAUCAUUUAUUUAUUUAUUUACAUUAUGUGUAAUUCUAUAGUAUAUCCUUAGUUAUAGGCUAACAUUGAACUUUUUGUAUAAAUUAGAAAAUACUGAUGAACUCUAAAACAGUGCCUGGUAGGAUGUGAUGUUUUUGGAGUCUGGAGCUCAUAAUUAAGUUCCAUCCCACAGU
rnacentral:lncRNA from 1 species